CGGAGCGUAGCGCAGCUUGGUAGCGCGUCUCGUUCGGGACGAGAAGGUCGCUGG
rnacentral:tRNA from 1 species